GGAGGGGAUGCAACCAAUUUGUAGGCGAGAGCAUCCAUGAUAUGUAAUCGUCAGCCAUGAAGAAACAGCACGUCCGAGUGUUUUUGUCCAGGAUUGUAGAUCUUAAUAUUAAUUAAGGUUUUAUAAUUAUGCUGUAUCACGAGACCUUAAGCAGAAAACAGUAUACAGCAGGCAUCGAAUUUAUCGUCGGCGCCGGCGGCCACUGUUCGAUGCCCUUCUUGUUGGCCGCUAUAUAAGCCCUCGAAAUUUAUUGAAAUCUACGGCAGUAUACGUAGUUGGGCCUGCUCUGAACCUCAGUACUUUAUGAGCUUUGAGUAACAAAGAGUGACUGGACAAAAUGGAAUAGACAUUUUCAUUUAGACGACAAAUGCGUUAAAACAAUGUAUUAUAUGCACGUAUUGUAUGCGAUGUCCCACGGGACAGUUUUUAAUUAGCGAC